rnacentral:rRNA from 1 species
UACGAAGGGGGCUAGCGUUGCUCGGAAUUACUGGGCGUAAAGGGAGCGUAGGCGGACAUUUAAGUCAGGGGUGAAAUCCCGAGGCUCAACCUCGGAACUGCCUUUGAUACUGGAUGUCUUGAGUGUGAGAGAGGUGAGUGGAACUCCGAGUGUAGAGGUGAAAUGCGUAGAUAUUCGGAAGAACACCAGUGGCGAAGGCGACUCACUGGCUCAUUACUGACGCUGAGGCUCGAAAGCGUGGGGAGCAAACAGG